CUAUUGCUAUCACAUAAAAUCAGGGAAGUCCAAAGCCAUUGAGGAAAAUUCUUUCACCACCUGAUAAGAGCAAUCAAUUCCAAGGCCCUUCCAAGGAACCUUAAAUC
rnacentral:lncRNA from 1 species